GACAGAGGGUGCAAACGUUGUUCGGAAUUACUGGGCGUAAAGCGCGUGUAGGCGGCCCGGCAAGUCGGAUGUGAAAUCCCUGGGCUCAACCCAGGAACUGCGUCCGAUACUGGCAGGCUUGAAUUCGGGAGAGGGAUGCGGAAUUCCAGGUGUAGCGGUGAAAUGCGUAGAUAUCUGGAGGAACACCGGUGGCGAAGGCGGCAUCCUGGACCGAGAUUGACGCUGAGGCGCGAAAGCCAGGGGAGCAAACGGG
rnacentral:rRNA from 1 species